rnacentral:lncRNA from 1 species
AUGUUUUGGGGAACCAAAUUUUACGUCGUGUUCUCAAAGGUUUUGAUCGUUGAUUUGAUAAAAGAUCUGGCCGAUUCACCGGAUUCUACCUCCUCGAUUCUCGAAGAGACGCCUCAAGACAAGAAAGAGAUUUUAGAAAAGCAUAAAAUUGUUCCGAAAGUGUUGGCAUAUAUGCCGAAGUAUGUUCUCUCUGGUAGCUUUGAAGGCAAAGAGAUGUCUUUCGGAAACAGCUUCACUCCAGAUGAAAUCAGGAAGCCUCCAAUUUUUUUUAGACUGGCCAAUCAACGGAACAAAAGCGCUUUAUUGUUUGCUUGCGAUAGGUAUGGAUGUUCCAAACAAGAAAAAACCAAAGUUGCGGGAUUUUAGGCAUUGGUUUGUCGGUAACAUUCCCGGAACUGACAUAUCAAAAGGACGAACGUACCUCCCAUAUAUUGGUGCCGGCGAUUUUUAGACCAAGGUAAGCAUCUGAAACUUUAGUGAAGCAUAAAUAAUAAACUAAAAAACUGUAGAAAUACUAAAACUCAAGUCUAAAUGACGAUUAUAUUUAAUUCCUACGAACACGUCAGGGACGCAUCAUCGCAUCAUAUUUCCGUUCUAUCAUCAGAUCUAGGCACGAUUCUGAAAUUAUAUCGACGGUAUAAGUCGGCAAUCACAUAACUCAGUUUGCGACGUUGCAGACUUCCUAUCAUACUUUAUUUUUUGAACGGAAAACUGCUCAAUGGCAAUUCUUUAAAACUGCCGUGAUUUUUCUUCUCUGUGUGAAGAAAUUCUGCAAAAACUUAAAGGAAUGAUGUAAAUUUGUUCUACUUCAAAAAAAUAACACAGAGGCGGAGAUUUUCAGACACCGUAAACGAGAUAUAUGAUUGCGGACUUACGCCAUCGACAUGUAUCAUAAGAAAUAACAAACACGACCAACUGCAUACAAGGAGCUUGGAGGACAAGGCGCAUGAAUGCAACUCAUUAUAUUUCAAGAAAUUAGUGUUUGAAUGUUUCAAUAUUACACGGAGUCUUGCGGCAUUCAAACUCAACAAAGUUCAAACUCACUUUUUGAUACUUAAAAAUCGGAUUUUAAUCGUUUAUUUCACCGUUAAAUUGUUUACGUAAUUCAAAGAUUAGUUUUAGUCGAAAUAAUUAAUAUCUCAAUUUUCUCAAAACUCUAAGCACCUUUUAUCAUUACUUCAAAUACUCAGCAGUCGGUAGAUAAGUGGUUUAGGAAAAAAGUAUAUUUGUCCUCUUCUAAGGAGAUGAAUCGGCUGAACACUGUUUGUCAAUUAUGGUGUCUUUGGUAGGUAUUGAGUGUUAGCUCAAAUUACUAAUGUUAGCGAGCCAUGCUAAAUUUUAAUGUAUGUUAUUAGUUUAAUCAUUUAACUAUGAUAAUACCUGUCCUACAAUUUUGCAGGUUCACAUCGGAUUGUAUUUGUAGUGUUCCAACAACCUGGUAGUAGAAGAAUCAAAUUUUACGAAAGAAAACUCACAAAAAUGUAAGAUAUUUUGUUUUUUGAAAGUUGAAUGUUAAUCACGGACGUGAUGUACUUACGAAAAACUAAACCAGUCACGGUCGUUUUCGCUUACGUAAAAUGAAUUUCAGAACCUAUAGGACACGUACAUUUGUCGGUCUGAGCAAUAAUUGUGGUUUAACAUUUAGAGCUAGAAAUUAAGAGUAGAAAACAUACCGAGCACACCCAAAAUUAACGGAUGUAACUGACCAUUUAAAACUAUGAUUGAUCACAUCUAUACCAUUGUGGGAGUACAUUCCAUUGUUAAAAUUCUGUACUGCACUAUUCUGAUCUCUCCUCUAAGGUGUUAACGUAUCUACCAACCAACCAACCAGGGUUUCAUUCAUGCUGAACGUAACGUAACUAUUACAAAGUGUGCAUCAGUGAUAAAUGAAGCAUAUCGACGGCGUAAGUUCGCAAUCACAUAUCUCGUUUGCGGUGUCUGAAAUUCUCCGCUUCUAUGUUAUUAUUUUAAAGACGAACAAAUUGGCAUCAUUCCUUGAAGUUUUUGCAGACUUUUCUUUUCACAGAGAAGAGAAAUCACGGCAGUUUUAAAGAAAUGCCGUUGAAUAGUUUUCCGUUUAAGAAAUAAAGUAUGACAGAAAGUCUGCGACGUGAGUCGCAAACCGAGUUAUGUGAUUGCCGACUUACACCGUCGAUAUGUAAAGGAAAGUAAGGUAUGCAAUCAGCCAUCACUGUUGUGGAUUAUGUAAACUAUUAUAUUGACAAAGGGUGACCCCUCAUUCAUAUAAAACUUGGAUUUUUACAAAUACUAUACUUCUCUGUUAAUUUUCAGGAUUUAACUAACAAAUCAAAAUCAAAAGAACGCACCCUGACUUAUUUCCUGGGUGAAUUUGCUCUUUUUUGUCAAGAUCCGAGUAAUUACUUCCAUCCACCAGAAUAUGAGGGACAAAAAAUAUGGUCAUUUGCUUCUAAUUAUACCUUCAUAUUAUCAAACAAGAAAUAGAUCGCGAGCUUUUACACGUGACUACAAAAUAAGCGGAGAAGUUUUUAAAAAGUCACUUUCCUUGUUUUCCUCGUGUUUCAUGUAACAAUUUUAAUUUUCAGGGUGCCAAUAAAUAGGGCAAGAGGGAACUCGUCGACACUAAAGUUUGCCGAAAAAUAUAGCUUGAGGGAGCCGGUGGCAGCUAACUUCCUCACAGUUGAGACGGAUGUGCCUCAGUCAACGACGGACUACUACGCUCAUACGACGAUUGAAGUGCCCCCAGACUGGGAGGGCAUCAGCAUGAACCCGCAAAUGGUGGGCCUCACCAUCCCCUCCAUCCCAAGUGACGAGGAGUUCGAGAAGGAACUGAAGCUGAGCAGGAGUGAAAGACGAAGAGGGAAGAAGUCGAAGAAGAAGGCGGAGGAGAAGAAAAAUCAGGACCUUACGCUGAUUAUUAUGAAGAUGAUGAUGAUGAUGAAGAUGAUGAGGGAGAUGAAGAUCAAGUUAAGAAAGAGGACGAUGAGAGUGACAAAGAAAAAGACAAUAAAAAAAGUGAACAUGAAAUAAGACGGAGGAUAAAAUGGAAAAGGAAAAUGAAAAUAAAGAUAAAAAGAAAAAGAAAAUGAAGAUGAAAAGAAAAAGGAAAAUGAAAGUAAAGAUAAAAAGAAAAAGGAAAAUGAAGUUGAAAGGAUAAAGGAAAAUAAAGAUAAAAGGAUGAAGGAAAAUAAAGAUAAAAGGAAAAGAAAAAAUAAAGAUAAAAAGAAACAGGAAAAGAUAAAGAAAAAGAAAAAUGAAAUAAAGAUGAAAUUUGAAAAAUUCUCAUCUGAUGGAUUUUAUUCUAACCCCGCAUUAUCAACGAUUGCCGUGAGAAACGUCUGUUCAUUAUGACGUUUUACAAAAAUGAGACCGUUUUCUUUCUCAAUAUUUAAUGGAGAUCCACAAAAAGUUUCUGGUCCAGAAGGUCGCUCAUAUAUUGAGCAUUCCAUACGUACCUAUUCAUCGGUAGGUACGCUUUUGCGUCCGUCUUAUGUAGAACUAGCACUGAACCCGCACCACGCGUGGGACCGGGACCAAUGGUAGCAAAUGCAUCCAAUGUAUCGAACCACAGGAAAGCACAUACUGUAGUCGCGUCCAUUUAUUUUUACACGAAAUUAAUAUACUUCCUAGUUCUCGACGUGUUUUCAAAUGGAAGCAGACAAAAUUUUUCCAAAACAUUUAUUAAUCACAAGCCAUGGAUGCCUCGGCUUUUUCCAUUGUAUGUUUUUUCAUGAGAUCGAUACUCUCUCCCUUAUCUUUAGGACCCCACUUUUUAAUGGAUCUUCGUGUUUUCAAAAGACUGACUCUCUUCGUUAGAUCGCAAACAGUAAGUUAUGCAUUUUCUGCAUUGUAACCCCCUCCCUUUCCCUCAAUCUGGAGAAUUUAUAUUCGAUAACUCCCAUUGAAUGUUCACACGUACAUUCAGUGGAUUUCAUCCCAUUCAUUCGCAUUCUCUUACUGCGUUCAAUAUGCUCCUCCUGCCCUCAGAUAAAAAACUCCGCCUGAUUUCUUGAUGUCACCCCAUUCUAACACCUUGUUUUUCCUGUGCGUAUUUUUUUAGAUUAAUGCUUUCCCUUGUGUCCACGGGUAUAUCUCCGUAAAUGAUUUUUUCUUAAUUUUAUCCUAUCUUUUUGGGCGCUUCUGGGACAAUACAUUGACGGCAAGGCGAGAGCAAGAGGGGCCACUGCUCCACUUCCCGUUCUGGGUACCAGAUGCGCCCUUUCCAGCCAUUCGGGUCUUCGGAUUUAACAUGUAAUAGAGUACAUAACUUUUUGCCUUUUGGGUAAUGACGCCAGUCUGGUACACGCGGUAAAAUUUGGAUUUUGUUCUUCUCUGGUAUUUCUAAACAUUUCGUAAAAUGUUUUGCUUUUAACAUACGAUCCGCGAACGGACGUAUUAACUGGUUAAAUUAUUUUAGGGCCUUGUUAUGCUUAAAUGCUCAUAUCCAAGGCAGCACCAAAGACAUAAAGACGGAGUGCUAUAAAAGCAAAACAAGCAGUUCCAACGUCAAGGCGUUGGAGGGCGCUUCUUUAACACUGCGAGGAACGUUUUCAUACGGCCAAGCGAGAGUAUUGCGGACGGUCGAUGUAUAACAAAUUGCCUACGUGGAGGUGGUCCAGCAGCAACAUACCCACCGCUAGUCUCUGAAAAACAAUAGAAAAUAGUAGUUGCGUACGUUGCCAGCGAGCGCAUCUGUUUCAAUUACUUAGCAUCGAGUCGGGCCUCUAACUUUCUAUUCUCUCGCUGACAUAACCUUAAACCUUCAACCCAGAGUCGCAAACAGCUGACGCUUGACGAUGCUGCGCCGAGAAAAUGAACCAAUCACAAAAUAGCACAGUAAUACGUCACUAAAAUGAAGAGAUCACGUGACUGUUCGUGAUUUUUUCGAAUCAAUCUGAAACUACAACCUCGAAUAUGAGUCAUUUAAGC